rnacentral:rRNA from 1 species
UCAACUUGAGAGUUUGAUUCUGGCUCAGAACGAACGCUGGCGGCAGGCUUAACACAUGCAAGUCGAGCG